rnacentral:rRNA from 1 species
GACGAGCCACACGAACGUUAUUCGGAAUUACUGGGCUUAAAGGGUGCGUAGGCUGCGCGGAAAGUUGGGUGUGAAAUCCCUCGGCUCAACCGAGGAACUGCGCCCAAAACUGCCGUGCUCGAGGAAGAUAGAGGUAAGCGGAACUUACGGUGGAGCGGUGAAAUGCGUUGAUAUCGUAAGGAACACCUGUGGCGAAAGCGGCUUACUGGGUCUUUCUGACGCUGA